rnacentral:tRNA from 1 species
GCUGGCGUAGCUCAAUUGGCAGAGCAGCGGUAUCGUAAACCGCAGGUUGCGGGUUCGAGUCCCAUCGCCAGCUCCA